GAUGAACGCUGACAGAAUGCUUAACACAUGCAAGUCUACUUGAACUUCGGUUUGGGUGGCGGACGGGUGAGUAACGCGUAAAGAACUUGCCUCACAGAUAGGGACAACAUUUGGAAACGAAUGCUAAUACCUGAUAUUAUGAUUUUAGGGCAUCCUAGAAUUAUGAAAGCUAUAUGCACUGUGAGAGAGCUUUGCGUCCCAUUAGCUAGUUGGAGAGGUAACGGCUCACCAAGGCGAUGAUGGGUAGCCGGCCUGAGAGGGUGAUCGGCCACAAGGGGACUGAGACACGGCCCGUACUCCUACGGGAGGCAACAGUGGGGAAUAUUGGACAAUGGACCAAGAGUCUGAUCCAGCAAUUCUGUGUGCACGAUGAAGUUUUUCGGAAUGUAAAGUGCUUUCAGUUGGGAAGAAAAAAAUGACGGUACCAACAGAAGAAGUGACGGCUAAAUACGUG
rnacentral:rRNA from 1 species